rnacentral:rRNA from 1 species
CCCUUAGAUGUUCUGGGCCGCACGCGCGCUACACUGUUCGACGCAGCGAGUCUUAACCUUGACCGAAAGGUUUGGGUAAUCUUCAGCAAAGUCGAACGUGAUGGGGAUCGAUCAUUGCAAUUAUUGAUCGUGAACGAGGAAUUCCUAGUAAGUGCAAGUCAUCAGCUUGCGCUGAUUACGUCCCUGCCCUUUGUACACACCGCCCGUCGCUACUACCGAUUGAAUGGUUUAGUGAGAUCUCUGGAUUGACGCUGGCUAGGGGGCGACCCUUGGCCAGACUGUUGAGACACUGCUCAAACUUGAUCAUUUAGAGGAAGUAAAAGUCGUAACA